CAAAUCAAUUAGCACCGCCCGCUUUUUAUUUCAUCCAUGGCGCGAAACCCAUCUCCCCCUCGGCAAACCAUACCAAUACCAACAACGCAUUUCUCAGUGCAUUUUCAACCCCACAUCACAUAUCGCCUCCACCGUUCUCCCCCCAUGCACUCAGCAAAUGACAACUUUUAUCGAACGAGUUUGUUUUCCAGGGGAAUAAUCGUCCGUAUUUUCCCGGGAAAUUGGAGCCGCCCGUGAAAUUGUACCUCUACGAUUUGCCAUAUGGUACACCAUUCUCCAGAUCGAGGUGAAGACUCGUCAGAGCUCAAAUACCCCGGUCCCGUGCACAUGGUUGAGUGAUGCAUUUUCUCUGAUCCGCUUAUCAGAAGCGUACUGGGUCACCCAGCAUUCGGUUGUUGAAUGAAUCACGAGGAAGAAGACUUGUAGUUUGCUCAAAUCAGAUUGAGGGAGAUUCAGGGCUCACCAGGACAUGAUUUUGUCGUACCAUCGUCAGAUCAUCUUAUGGUGACUUUAGUCUCGCAGCUUGCAAGACCUUGUCCUCCGUUUUUGGCAACUGGUUUGUGAAGGAGGUGAACUUCUAUUUUGGAUUCCAAGAGUGAUGAAGGACAGCAAUGAAUGAAAUCUGGGGCCAGGUAUUGCAGAAGUUACUCAAUUAAACUAAUGAUCAUUGGGGAUGGAAAGCUUGUUCAUGAAGAAUUGAAUGGACCAAACUGCUUUUGCGUGUGUUGAAACCUUAGUGAAUUAACCAAGAGCGGAAGCUAAACUCGCAGGGGCUUUGUAGGGAGAGUGAAUUUUUUAUUUUAUUCAAGAAGAAGCCAUUGCUCCACAAUCAAGUAGGUCCCAGGCUCCAUCGAUCUUUUCAGCUCACACAGAUGCUACAAUUUCCUUUUUGUCACAGUUUGCUUGUUGAUAAUGUACGGCCUUUUAACUUCAACUUUAAAGCAGACAUAUCAUAUCAUAUCAAAUAAUUAUUGUAUUGUAGCACCUCUUAACUUGUCGAUGUCAAACAAAAUUUAGCAGCACCGGACUUGUAAGUCUCUCAUUAA